rnacentral:lncRNA from 1 species
AAUGUGACCCCAAAUCCCAAUCAAUCCCCCUAUACGGUUUUAGGAUCCCCUAUGGGAUUCUCUGGUACUUUGUGGGGUUUUAGGGUCUCUUAUGGGAUUUUAUGAUCCUGCAACGGGAUUUUGGGUUCCCCCUUAUAGGAUUUUGGGGUCCCUUAUGCGAUUCUGUGGUCCCUAAUGGAUUUUAGGGUCCCCUAUGGGAUUUUGCGUCCCCCAAUGGGAUUCUAUGGGUUUCUAUAGGAUUUUGGGGUCCCAAUGUUGCAGUUUUGGGGUCUUCUCUGGGAUUUUGGGUUCUCUGGGUUGGAUUUUGGGGUCCCCCAAUGGGAUUCUCUGGGUUCCUAUAGGAUUUUGGGGUGUCCAAUGGGAUUUGGGGUCUCCAAUCAGAGUUUUGGGGUCUUUCGGUUGCAAUUUUUGGGGUCCUCUAUGGGAUUUUGGGGUCCCCAAUGGGAUUCUUUGAUCCCUAUGGGAUUUUGGGGUCCCUGGGUUGCAAUUUUUGGGGUCCUCUAUGGGAUUUUGGGGGUCCUUGGGUAGGAAUUUUGGGGUCCCCCAAUGGGAUUCUCUGGGUUCCUAUAGGAUUUUGGGGUCCUCUAUGGGAUUUGGGGUCUCCAAUCUCAGUUUGGGGGUCCCUGGGUUGGAAUUUUUGGGGUCCUCUAUGGGAUUUUGGGGUCCCCAAUGGGAUUCUCUGAUCCCUAUGGAAUUUUGGGGUCCCUGGGUUGGAUUUUGGGGUCCCCAAUGGGAUUUUGGGUGCCCCAAUGGGAUUCUAUGGGUUCCUAUAGGAUUUUGGGGUCCCUGGGUGGUAAAAAUUUUGGGGUCUCUUAUGAGAGUCUAGGGAUUCCUGUAGGAUUUUGGGGUCCCUAUGUCACAGUUUUGGGGUCUUCUCUGGGAUUUUGAGUUCUCUGGGUUGGAUUUUGGGGUCCCCCAAUGGGAUUCUAUGGGUUCCUAUAGGAUUUUGGGGUCCCUGGGUGGGAAUUUUGGGGUCUCCCAUGAGAUUCUAUGGAUUCCUAUAGGAUUUUUGGUGUCCCAAUGUUGCAAUUUUGGGGUCUUCUAUGGGAUUCUAUGGAUUCCUAUAGGAUUUUUGGGUCCCUCGGUUGUAAUUUUGGGAUCCCCUAUGGGAUCCUAUGGGUUCCUAUAGGAUUUUGGGGUCCCUGGGUGGGAAUUUUGGGGUCUCCUAUGAGAUUCUAUGGAUUCCUAUCGGAUUU